AUAUAAAGGUACAAUUAUAAUUUAAUCCCAUAUAUUAUUUUUUUUUUAUCGCGAGGUGGAAAAUGCGUUCUUUACGCACACCUCGGAAACCGCUUUCCCAAGGUAAUGUGGGACUCAGCACACCUGCCACUACCAACUAAAAAUCACCUCAGUGCAAAUUCUCAAUGGACUUUAAAGGGAUGGACUCCGAAACACCAGAGGUUUCACUUCAAGGACAACACAGGUGGAGGAUGACCAGUCAAGAUCAGCCAUUCUGCCAACAGAGGAGGACGAACACGGGACGGAUCAAGAUGAACGAACACAAGAUAAAUCACAACAGGAUCUAUUCAACCGUACACGCACACCGGGGAAAAGAAGAUACAUACAUAUACACAGAAGAACAUACAUGGACUUAUAUUUGUAUCCGGUGACCGAUUGACCAUGCGGGAGAUCAGCCGCCAGCCGUACUGUCGGUAUAAGAGAAGGCUCAAUAGACUUCUGACUCCUGUCACAACUAGGGGAUAAAUCAAGAAACCCUUGUUCCUUAAAGGAUCGGCCAUGUCCAAGUCCUGUAAAGGAAUCGCUCGAUGCAUCUAUUGUGGUGGCCAGAAACACCCAGAAGAAGAAAGAUGCUCCGAAAAAAAAAUCCGCCACGCUAUCUUAACUGCAAAGACUACACAACCUGGCUACUCACCAUUCCUGCCGAACAUCGAUCUGCCCAGAUGUUGGCAGUAAAGGAAAACAUUCCCCUACGGGAUGCCAAAAAAAUAAUCUCCCUCAAGUACCAUAGCAACUAAUCGAGGAGACCACCCCCUCUUUCUCACUCCGAAUUGAUUCGUGGCCUGUAUUAGCACCGACUGGUAGCCUCGGCCAUUUGCAGGAACAAGAAGAAGAAGAAGAAGUAGAGAAUAAGAUAAGCUCAUGCUGGAUUGCUGUUCGAUUUUUGCCGCCAUAACGUGUAGCAUAACUUCGCAAUUUGUGCUUUUGGCAUGUUUUGCUAUCUGGGUAUGGACUGCCAGUGGCUAACUUCACACUUGUUCACUUGUUGUUAAAAAGAGGCCACAUCACUAACUAAGAACCAAAUAGGCGCGAGUGUAAGGCGAGAAAUCGCCGCGGAAGCGCGACAUUUUUGGGGGCUCGUCCGGGAUCGGCACAUGGCGGAGCGUCAAGCGGAAUUGACGGAGAAGGAUUUAGCGACAGGAGUAAAACAAGAAGGAGCAUCAGGGAGACGGGGGAUUGUCUCGGCCAGAAAGAGAGCUUGCACGCGUGCAGAGGAAUCGGAAAUGACUCCGAGUCUGGAGAUGGUCCUUCGCCUAUGACUAUGGAAGAGCUUUGCCUUCUUAGAGAGGAGCGAGCGGAGCGGCGACGCGGAGCGAAAGAGCAGGGAGGAUCGAUGCGGCAGUUCGAGGAGCAUGAACUAUCCAUACCCGGCCAGUCAAAUCCAAUUUUAAAUCUCGGUUUAAAAUUAAAGCCAUUGUUGUAGCCAGAUCUACAAUCAAUAAUAAAAUAACAACUAAUAAUAAAAGUAGUCCGCAUG